rnacentral:rRNA from 1 species
UACGUAGGUCCCGAACGUUGCGCGAAUUUACUGGGCGUAAAGGGUCCGUAGGCGGUUUAGCAAGUGGUUGGUGAAAUUUCACGGCUCAACCGUGAAACUGCCUUCCAAACUGCUAAACUUGAGGCAGGGAGAGGUCGGCGGAAUUCCCGGUGUAGCGGUGAAAUGGGUAGAUAUCGGGAGGAACUCCAGUGGCGAAGGCGGCCGACUGGAACUGUCCUGACGCUGAGGGACGAAAGCUGGGGAGCAAAGGGG